CCCCUGGUGGUCCAGUGGUGAGGACUCUGCACUUCCAUUGCAGAGGGCCUGGGUUUGAUUCCUGACUGGGUAA
rnacentral:tRNA from 1 species